CCGGAUCACUGAUGAAUAACCAAUCACCAUCUUUCGGCUGAUCGCCUGAUGGACGCUUGUUUUUACCUGAGACGUCUU
ensembl:snoRNA